CACGUAGGGCGCAAGCGUUGUCCGGAAUUAUUGGGCGUAAAGAGCUCGUAGGCGGCCGGUUGCGUCUGCUGUGAAAUCCCGGGGCUUAACCCCGGGCGUGCAGUGGAUACGGGCUGGCUGGAGGCAGGCAGGGGAGAAUGGAAUUCCCGGUGUAGCGGUGAAAUGCGCAGAUAUCGGGAGGAACACCGGUGGCGAAGGCGGUUCUCUGGGCCUGUGCUGACGCUGAGGAGCGAAAGCGUGGGGAGCAAACAGG
rnacentral:rRNA from 1 species